UGUCGAAAAAUGUACCUCGUU
rnacentral:piRNA from 1 species